AGUCGACGGAAGUCGUUGUAAUGAAAUAGAAACGGACAGAGAACUUGUUCGAAGAAAGUGGAAGUAGACUUACAACAAUGGCUUUAGUGGCGGACUGGUGAGUAACGCGUAAGGAACCUGCCUUCUAGAGGGGAAUAACAAUGAGAAAUCAUUGCUAAUACCGCAUAUGCCGAGAGAAUCACAUGGUACAAUCGGGAAAAGAGUAAUCUGCUAGAAGAUGGCCUUGCGUCUGAUUAGAUAGUUGGUGGGGUAACGGCCUACCAAGUCGACGAUCAGUAGCCGGACUGAGAGGUUGAACGGCCACAUUGGGACUGAGAUACGGCCCAGACUCCUACGGGAGGCAGCAGUCGGGAAUAUUGCGCAAUGGAGGAAACUCUGACGCAGUGACGCCGCGUAUAGGAAGAAGGUUUUCGGAUUGUAAACUAUUGUCGUUAGGGAAGAGAAAGGACAGUACCUAAGGAGGAAGCUCCGGCUAACUACGUGCCAGCAGCCGCGGUAAUACGUAGGGAGCGAGCGUUAUCCGGAAUUAUUGGGUGUAAAGGGUGCGUAGACGGGAAGAUAAGUUAGUUGUGAAAUCCCUCGGCUUAACUGAGGAACUGCAACUAAAACUGUUUUUCUUGAGUGCAGGAGAGGUAAGUGGA
rnacentral:rRNA from 1 species